AUUGGACGCUGGCGGAAUGCUUUACACAUGCAAGUCGAACGGCAGCACGGGGGCAGCCCUGGUGGCGAGUGGCGAACGGGUGAGUAAUACAUCGGAACGUGCCCGGUCGUGGGGGAUAACGUAGCGAAAGUUACGCUAAUACCGCAUACGAUCUGAGGAUGAAAGCGGGGGACCUUCGGGCCUCGCGCGAUCGGAGCGGCCGAUGGCAGAUUAGGUAGUUGGUGGGGUAAAGGCCUACCAAGCCGACGAUCUGUAGCUGGUCUGAGAGGACGACCAGCCACACUGGGACUGAGACACGGCCCAGACUCCUACGGGAGGCAGCAGUGGGGAAUUUUGGACAAUGGGCGCAAGCCUGAUCCAGCCAUUCCGCGUGCAGGACGAAGGCCUUCGGGUUGUAAACUGCUUUUGUACGGAACGAAAAGGCUCUGGCUAAUACCUGGGGCUCAUGACGGUACCGUAAGAAUAAGCACCGGCUAACUACGUG
rnacentral:rRNA from 1 species